GACGAACGCUGGCGGCGUGCUUAACACAUGCAAGUCGAACGGAAAGGCCCUGCUUUUGUGGGGUGCUCGAGUGGCGAACGGGUGAGUAACACGUGAGUAACCUGCCCUUGACUUUGGGAUAACUUCAGGAAACUGGGGCUAAUACCGGAUAGGAGCUCCUGCGGCAUGGUGGGGGUUGGAAAGUUUCGGCGGUUGGGGAUGGACUCGCGGCUUAUCAGCUUGUUGGUGGGGUAGUGGCUUACCAAGGCUUUGACGGGUAGCCGGCCUGAGAGGGUGACCGGCCACAUUGGGACUGAUAUACGGCCCAGACUCCUACGGGAGGCAGCAGUGGGGAAUAUUGCACAAUGGGCGGAAGCCUGAUGCAGCAACGCCGCGUGCGGGAUGACGGCCUUCGGGUUGUAAACCGCUUUCGCCUGUGACGAAGCGUGAGUGACGGUAAUGGGUAAAGAAGCACCGGCUAACUACGUG
rnacentral:rRNA from 1 species